GUCGCAUGGCAUUCAUGUCAAAGAUUUAUCGCUGAAAGAUGGCCUCGCGUCUGAUUAGCUAGUUGGUGAGGUAACGGCCCACCAAGGCGACGAUCAGUAGCCGGACUGAGAGGUUGAACG
rnacentral:rRNA from 1 species